rnacentral:rRNA from 1 species
UAAUAAUAAAUUGUUAAAUUUUAAAGUUUAAUUAAAUUUUAAUAAAAGUAAUUUUAAUAUAAAAAGUUAAUGUAUUUUUUAAAAAUAAAAUAUUUAUAACAAUAGUUUAUAGUAUAGUAAUAGAAAUUUGAAAUAUUUAUUUAAUUAAUUUAAAAGUAAUUAUAAUUUAAUGUACCUUUUGUAUCAGGGUUUAUUAAAUAAUUUAUAUAUAUAAUAUAAAUCUCGAAUUUAAGAGAGUUAAAAUAAUAUGAAAGUUAUUGUAUUAAAAAUAUUUUUAAUAUUAUUUUAGUAAUGAAAAGUUAUUCGUUCUUAAAUAUAUCUAGUUUUUUAAGAAAUAAAUUUAAUUUAUUAUUAAUUUUGUAUUAAUUUAAUUAUUAAAUUUAAUAUAAAUUAAUUAAAAUUUUUAUGGGGAUAAGCUUAUAAAAAUUAAUUAUAAAUAUUUUUUAAUAUAAAAAAUAUAGGAUUAGAAAUUUUCAUUAUUAAUAAAAGUGUUAUAAUUUAUUUUAUUAAAAUUUAAAUUUAUUAUAUUUUAAUUUUUUUAUUAAAAUAUUUAUUUUAACAAUAAAAAUAAAGUAAUAAUGAUAAAAUUAGUAUUAUUUAUUAUAUAAAUUAAAAAUUUAUAAAGAUAAAAUUAAGGAAUUCAGCAAUUUUAAUAUUCACCUGUUUAACAAAAACAUGUCUUUUUGUUUAAAAUAAAAAGUCUAACCUGCCCACUGAUAUAUUUAUUAAAGGGCCGCAGUAUAUUGACUGUGCAAAGGUAGCAUAAUCAUUUGUCUUUUAAUUGAAGACUGGAAUGAAUGGUUGAAUGAAAUAUUAACUGUCUCAAUUUUAAAAAAUUAAAAAUUUAAUUUUUAAGUUAAAAAGCUUAAAUAAAUUUAAAGGACGAGAAGACCCUAUAGAUCUUUAUAUUUAUAAUUAUAUUAUAAAAUAGAAGAAUAAUAAAUAAUAUUUUUAUAAAUAUUUUAUUGGGGUGAUAGGAAAAUUUAAUAAACUUUUUUUAAAAUUAAACAUAGAUUUAUGAAUACUUGAUCCAUUAUUAAUGAUUAUAAGAUUAAGUUACCUUAGGGAUAACAGCGUAAUUUUUUUAGAGAGUUCAUAUCGAUAAAAAAGAUUGCGACCUCGAUGUUGAAUUAAAGUAAUUUUUAGAUGUAGCAGUUUAAAAUUUAGGUCUGUUCGACCUUUAAAUCUUUACAUGAUUUGAGUUCAGACCGGUGUAAGCCAGGUCGGUUUCUAUCCUUAAUUAAUUAUGAUAUUUUAGUACGAAAGGACCAAAUAUUGAAAUUAUAUUUUUAUUAUUGAAUAAUAUU